rnacentral:rRNA from 1 species
UACGGAGGGUGCAAGCGUUAUCCGGAAUCACUGGGUUUAAAGGGUGCGUAGGCGGUUAUGUAAGUCAGGGUGAAAGGUCACAGCUUAACUGUGAGAUUGCCUUUGAAACUGUGUAACUUGAAUCAGAUAGAGGUUAGUGGAAUGCGACAUGUAGCGGUGAAAUGUAUAGAUAUGUCGUGGAAUACCGAUUGCGAAGGCAGCUAACUGGGUCUUGAUUGACGCUGAGGCACGAAAGCGUGGGGAGCGAACAGGAUUAGA